UGGCUCAGAUUGAACGCUGGCGGCAGGCCUAACACAUGCAAGUCGAGCGGCAGCGGGAAAGUAGCUUGCUACUUUUGCCGGCGAGCGGCGGACGGGUGAGUAAUGCCUGGGGAUCUGCCCAGUCGAGGGGGAUAACAGUUGGAAACGACUGCUAAUACCGCAUACGCCCUACGGGGGAAAGGAGGGGACCUUCGGGCCUUUCGCGAUUGGAUGAACCCAGGUGGGAUUAGCUAGUUGGUGGGGUAAUGGCUCACCAAGGCGACGAUCCCUAGCUGGUCUGAGAGGAUGAUCAGCCACACUGGAACUGAGACACGGUCCAGACUCCUACGGGAGGCAGCAGUGGGGAAUAUUGCACAAUGGGGGAAACCCUGAUGCAGCCAUGCCGCGUGUGUGAAGAAGGCCUUCGGGUUGUAAAGCACUUUCAGCGAGGAGGAAAGGUUGGCAGCUAAUAUCUGUCAGCUGUGACGUUACUCGCAGAAGAAGCACCGGCUAACUCCGUGCCAGCAGCCGCGGUAAU
rnacentral:rRNA from 1 species